rnacentral:lncRNA from 1 species
CAUGAUCUAUUUUUUCCAAGAGCUAUAAAAUCUUUCUAGUAUGACUUUUUUUACAAAGAAGAAAACAUCACAUAUCAAGAGGAUAUAUCUUGGAGGAUGAGAAAAGAUACAAGAAUAAGUCAUAAUUAUGUAGCCAGACUUGAAAACUCAUGGCGGGCCAGAAGCUAUGAAGACAUCGAAGAGAUGGGAAGCAGAUAGGAAGUGGCAUCAAUCAGCUGAGUUUUCACACAAUAUCAGAUUUGUAAACAGACUUAACUCAUUGAGAAGUUAAGUCACUCAUCUGUCCUGCAAUCUCGGCCAACUUGGUGUUUGAAAGGCCAUCAAUGGAUUGAAUGAUGCUGCCCACAUUGGUGAGGAUGGAUAUUCUUUGCUCAGUCUACUGAUUCAAAUGUGAAUCUCUUCCAGAAAC